AUUGAACGCUGGCGGCAGGCCUAACACAUGCAAGUCGAGCGGAGCGGCGGACGGGUGAGUAAUGCCUAGGCAUCUGCCUGGUAGUGGGGGAGAACGUCCGGAAACGGGCGCUAAUACCGCAUACUAUAAGCAGAGCCUAGGUCGGAUUAGCUAGUGGGUGGGGUAAAGGCCUACAAGGGCGACGAUCCGUAACUGGUCUGAGAGGAUGAGCAGUCACACUGGAACUGAGCCACGGGCCAGACUCCUACGGGAUGCAGCAGUGGGGAAUAUGGGACAAUGGGCGAAAGCCUGUUCCAGCCAUGCCGCGUGUGUGAAGAAGGUCUUCGGAUUGUAAAGCUCUUUAAGUUGGGAGGCGUUACCAACAGAAUAAGCACCGGCUAACUUCGUGCCAGCAGCCGCGGUAAUAC
rnacentral:rRNA from 1 species